AGAGGAGGGGACAGGUAUCUGGACAGAGGUUCUGCCCUCAGCACCCACCUGCCUGUCCUCCAG
ensembl:miRNA Mir7000 microRNA 7000